AAUGAACGCUGGCAGAAUGCUUAACACAUCAGCAAUGGAUAGGUGGCCGGCGGGUGAGUAACGAGUAAAGAACUUGCCUCACGGCUGGGGGCAACAUUUGGAAGCGAAUGCUAAUAACUAAUACUGUGAGAGAGCUUUGCGUCCCAGUAGCUAGUUGGAGAGGUAACGGCUCACCAAGGCGAUGAUGGGUAGCCGGCCUGAGAGGGUGAUCGGCCACAAGGGGAAGGAGACACGGCCCUUAGUCCUACGGGAGGCAGCAGUGGGGAACAUUGGACAAUGUACCAAAGUCUGAUGCAGCAAUUCGGUUUGCACGACAAAGUUUUCGGAAUGAAAAGUGCUUUCAUUUGGGAAGCGGUACCAACAGAAGAAGUGACGGCUAAAUACGUGCCAGCAGCCGCGGUAAUUC
rnacentral:rRNA from 1 species